rnacentral:lncRNA from 1 species
CAACUCAGUCUUAGCAGUAGAUAGGAACUUAGAUUAGCAAAUAGACAGAUUAGGAUAAGAUUUAUUAUUUUGGGAGGGUGGAAGUUAGAUGGGAAAAAUAAGUAGCACAGAUAGAUUAAAAUAGACAUAGAAGAUAAGUAACUGGCAUGGGCCAGAUUGGCACCACACAAACAACAGGAAGUGGAGGAUUUGUGAUAGAAGUGGGCACUAGAGAAAAAGUGCCAGACUGAAGAUUAUGUGACAUUGAUUACCUCAAUGGUGGAGGGCCCCAGGAGUGGAAUCCUGAGGAGAAAUGACACUGGCUGGGAGAGGAGUUGGUGGUCUCUUGGUCUUGAGACUUCGAAGAGAGAAGUUUCACCUAGCCAGUAUGUGUCAGAGGUGGUCCUUGAAUGCAGAUAUCCCUGA